rnacentral:lncRNA from 1 species
UCUUCUUCAAUUGGGAGGCAUCAUUUUAUCAUAUCAAAUCCUAGGAAAAAUAAUAGUUGGACGGUUAAUUUUUUACAAAACCCAGAUUCACAAUUCAAUACAAAAGUUAAAUUAAUGAUAUAAAAAAUUUUAAGAGAGAAAUUGGAAAAAAAUUAAACAAAACUUUAAAAAUCCAAAAGGAAAACUUGUGAAUUACCUUCAUCAAACCAUUUUCAAGAACAAAAUCCAUCAAUUACUUUUGUCAAGCUCAAGCCGUUUGGAAAUUCAGUUGCUCAACAAAUUAAUGGAUCAUUAGAUGAUAUGAUUUCUAAGGAAAUUUUGAGGGAUUAAGAUUUUAGGCCUUUAGUUACUUUGGUG